GCCCUAAAUCUCGAACAAGAAAUUAACCGGUAAUUGCUUUCCGAUUUAUCUCCUGUUUUCCAGUAUAUUUUUUUGUCUGUUAUAUUUUUUUUUAACUGUAGAAAGAAAUUAGAAGAUGACUCUUUUAACAUCCAAUGGAAAAUCGUAUAUGGUUAAUCACUGAUCUACAGUUGCAGGUAAGUGAAUCAACGAUCAUCUUGAUGAUGAUUACGAGGUGUUUGAUCCAGUGGCUAUUUGUGGAUCUAUACAUGCCUAAUUAGGUCAUGAGAUUUAAAUCAAUUUAGUGACGGUAAUCUUAUAUGUUUGUUAAUCGUUUCCACUAAAUUGACUAAAUAAUCGGUACGUUUUUGGACUAGACGCCUGUAUAUAGCUUACAUUUAUUAAUAGGUUGGAAUGUAAAUUGAUUUAAGAAUGAUUUCAUGCGGUUUGUAGACGUUUUUGAACGUCAUUUUACAUAGAGAAAGUGAAAUGUAGUUUCUUAUGCAAACAUAUUAAUCCUUCUAGCUAUUACAUACUAUUAGUUUUUAUAUGUAGAUAUUUAUCGUUUUACCCAGUUUGUAAAUGUAGAUUAAGGAAAACACCAACAGAAAAAAAUCAAUCCUGUAAGAGAUAACAUAUGCUGGGACAGUUCACUUAAAGAGGUUGGUGUGGAUGAAAGACCGCUGAAGGCGGGGCCAAAUUCAGUAGCUUUGGAAAGUGUCGAAACACGAAAAGAAAUUAUUUACGCAUUUUAUCGCUAGCCCGGUAGUAGUUGAAUUGGAACAUGAAAAUCGACGAUUAGUGUUUGGGGUACUCUAUUGGUGUCAAACGAUGGGGAAAAGGAACAGAUUGACGAUGCACAAAUGUUUGAAAAGGAAGGUGAAGCCGCAGGGGGAGAGAGGUGCGGCGGUCAUUUGCAGCACCGUAGCUGCAGUCGGAGACAUGGAAGUAGCCCAGCUCUAGCUCCGACGAUAAAAUGCCUGAAUAAUCUAAAACGAAACCCAGCUUUAUGAUUGACAUAUUGUUUUCUACAGGCCAAUGCACGUUUGGGAUGUUUUGUAGUUGCGGCUGGGCCUGAUUUUCAACAUGAGCAUUGUCACGCUGAAGAGAAAAAGAGAUUGAAUGAGGAUUUGGUAUGUUUCAUUUGCAUUUAAAAAAGUCGUAUCUAAGUUAUCUUCUUUAGUGUUUAAUUCUUUAGUUGUAUAUUGGAGCAUGAUUAGUGAAUGCAAAUUAUGGAGUAAUGUUAUAUUCUAAAUAAUGAACAGUCAUGAUUAUGUCAGCAGAUGAAUCUUGGGAAUUUAUUUUACACAUGCAUAAUG